GACGAACGCUGGCGGCGUGCUUAACACAUGCAAGUCGAGCGGUAAGGCCCUUUCGGGGUACGACGAGCGGCGAACGGGUGAGUAACACGUGGGUGACCUGCCCUCCAGCUCUGGGAUAAGCCUGGGAAACCGGGUCUAAUACUGGAUAUGACUCCAUGACGCAUGUUGGUGGGGUGGAAAGCCUUGUGCGGCUGAGGAUGGGCCCGCGGCCUAUCAGCUUGUUGGUGGGGUGAGGCCUACCAAGGCGACGACGGGUAGCCGGCCUGAGAGGGCGACCGGCCACACUGGGACUGAGACACGGCCCAGACUCCUACGGGAGGCAGCAGUGGGGAAUCUUGCGCAAUGGGCGAAAGCCUGACGCAGCGACGCCGCGUGAGGGAUGACGGCCUCGG
rnacentral:rRNA from 1 species